CCCAGGCCAGCAAACGAUGCAAUAACUUCACUGGAGCUACUCUUGAUUGACACUUACAUAAGUGAAAUCGGGGUCAGACCUUGCAUUUCUGCCCUCAUGGACAUCUCCCUGAAUUCACAGUGACAACAGUGGAAGACUUUAUUCACAUAUACAGAGUAGAAGAUGGUAUGAGGGAAAUUCUGCAAAUCAGAAAUUCUUUUACCAACAAUUAAAAAUGAAAGAAGUCUGAAAUCCUUUGCAUCUCUGGUAAAAGUCUCAUGGAAGAAGGUUAAAAAGCAUGGAGAUCUCACUGUGGACACACACCAAUAAACAAAGAAAACAGCUUCUCCCGCUACUCUCUCCCCCUGCUCCCCAUCUGAAAAAAAAAAAAUCUAGAUGACCUCUGCUUCCCCCCUGGAAUGGGAAACACCCUGCUGGUAUCAGUUGGUGUGGAAGGAAGAACGACCAACUGGGACACAGCCUCAUUUCCAUGUGCUUGUAGGGCAAGAUCUAGACACAAACAAGAAAUAUAGAGGGAUUUUUUUUUAAAUUCUUCUAAUAUCUCCACGAGAUGUUUUGGUUUGCCUUUUUCCUUUAGAUUUACAGCUGCUUAUAGGAAUACUAACAUCUUACAAAAGGCAUUAGCGUACAUAACAGACUCUGUCCAUCUCACAAGAAGAUAAAAUAAAGAACUGGCCUCUAUCAGAUGGGAACAAAAAAGACAUAUGAUGCUUAAUAAAGAUAAAACUCUUACUUUAUAAUGAAACACAUAUCUGUGCUUCAUGUGCAAGUUGAUCAUGCAAACUGACCAACAUAAUCGGCAAUCACGUGUUACAGUAUGGGAUGGUUUCAUUUUAUUAGACAUCUGGAAAAAAAAAAUCAAGCAUGGAGUGCCACAGAAAGGCCCUGCACUGAUAUUUCAUCUCUGAAGUCUUGGAGUCAAAUGUUAGGAGAGCCGUUUGGCGGACCUCAAGCGCGCAAUGGCAUGAAGACACAGUGGAUGAGCGGGCAGCGCGACGCAAGCGUAAAGCCAGGAGUGCGCCAACAUGACCGUGUCGACACAGCAGAGAGCAUGGGUAGUACAUGCUUUAUUUCCUCAUGCUUAGAAUAGGAGGUAAACAUGGCAUCAAAUGAGCUGCAGGCUGCUAACUAGGGGAAAGGUGAGUUUGUGUAGCCAUUCUAUAAAUAACCGUAUUUUAAAAGGCAAGAUUAUGCCAAGGCGGAUAUUGUGAAGAAACAGAAUAGAAAAUGGCAUUUUUUUAACAGAUAACACAUAUUUGCUACAAAAUGGGACUGUAACGUGUUCCCUAGCGUGACUACCUGGGGUGUAUGUGAUUUUUUGGUACUUAGGUCAGUGAAUCUGUCCUUUAAAGGAAGCUCUGUAAGUGAUCUAGUCUGUGCUUGUGCUGGAGAAACAACCCACUCCAAAAGAAAAAGAUCAAUGGUCAGGAUACACCUUUGUUAAAAUAUUUAACAUUUGUUAAAAUGUUCAACAUCUUGGUUUAGAUCCAAGAUAGAUAAGGUGAAAAAACCACUCUUCUUUUGGUGUCUUCACUGUCGUAAGACAUACAUUUUGGACUCUCUUUCAUGUAGAAAGUGGCCCUUUCAAAUCAGUUGACGUUAGGUUAGCCUGCCACAGAGCAGGAUGAAGCCUUAUUUAUUCAAAACAUCCACUGUCAGUGAGGACAACUGGUUCACAGAGCUGAGACAUAUGACCUUCUACAAUUUCCUCUGACAUUCAUGGUGUAGAAGGUUUCCUGGGGUAAACAAUGGUUUAUAAAUGUAGUUGUUUAAAUAAGUUCUUCUCCUACAAGUAAUCCAGGUAGUCUUUUGCCAGUUAUUUCUGUCUGGAAUGAUAGCAGGUGUCUUCUCUUUGUUCAGAGUUAAUCUUUUGAAAAUAUUCCUUAAUAAUACCUGUUUCAGGACGUUGCACUUCACUGUUGUGAAGUGUAAGUGCCCAUGCAAAGAAAACCACACACCACAGAAAGGUUUUCCUUUCUGAAACGAAUUUCCCAGAACCCAAGAAAAGUAAAAAGCAACCUAAUAGCUCUGGAAAGCAUCAUUAGCAAGGCUUCAUCUGCAGCUCAAUGCCUAGUUUGGGGAACUGCCAUUCAAGAAAGAUCUGACUCAAUUAGAUGCUGUUCCAGGCAGGAGAAGGAUCACAGUCUUAGUCUACAGAGCAGCAGAGCGAGAAGAAAGUUUUUCCAGGACAUAAAGGACUCUUGCGUAGAGGAUACAAAUAAACUUCUGCAUGUUGGUGGUGAGCACUAUGAAAUGUAUUUCUUUCUGUCCAUUUGAAGUAAUGAUUGUAAAUUGCAGCAACAAAUAUUUAGACUGGACACUAGGAAAAAAAAUCUAAAUGUAAGAACCCAGAAACUCUGGUGUGGAUUCCCUGCGGAGGCUGAUGCAUUUCCAGCUCUGCAUGUUUGUAGGUUUGACAAACACGUCAGGGAUGAUAUCAGUAAAGCAAAUCUUGGCUUGGGAUAUGAGAAUAGAUUAGAUGAGCUCUAGAGGUCCCUCACAACCCUUUUGUGAUGAUUCCCUGACAAGGACACAGAAAAUCAUGCAUGAUAUAAAUAAAAUACUCCAGCAUCAGUGAUCAAACCCAAAUCCAUAGAUUGGAUUAUGGCAUGGUAUAUACAUAUGUAUAGCUCUUCUUCACUCCAGACGGGCAGAAUUUGGCCUGAUAUUUAUCCUAGCAGAAAGUAAAUGACGCCAGACUGCCAAAACCACAGCAUACACAGAGAAGAAAGGGAAGGAGCAUUCUGCAAAAAUACUUUUUAUUUUGAAACAGUGUAUGUAUGUAGCAUAAUAUCUUUCAUAGCCAUUAGUGUUUGUUAAGAUUAGCUUGUCUUAGCAACCAGUUCUAAAAACAGAGCGCGGGCUUGCACAAACCUCAUCAUAUCACAUGCGGGAGGAAGUGAUUUUGUUACUGUGCAGGGACUUCUACUGUAUUCAUUACAGCCAACAGUAGCAAACAAGCAUACAGUAGUUUGAGGUUAGCAUUUCUUCUUCUGUAACAUUUCUGUAGAUAGGACAGUAUAAGUAAUAACACACUCCCUAUUAUAAUGAUAAUACAUCAUCUAUUGGUAUUUUGAGUUUUGAACAUUUAAAAGCCCCAUCACGUUGCUGAUGUUCUAUGCUAAGAAAUGUCAAUAGUUGAAAAUAUUAUUUUCCGUAUGUAUUAGUCUGCAUUGCUCCAAUCUCCUUGUCUUCAUUUAUCUUUCCGAGUUUUAGUUUUGACCUGCAUAUUUUGUUGAAAUAUAUACCAUGUAAUAAAGAGAAUAACGGUUUGCAUCACAAAACAGUGGGAUGGUAUCUGGCACUACGAUACCAGUGGAGGAACACGUAUGUUCUGUCUGAUAGAGAACUAAAUGUCACUGUUCAGCUCUUGCUGUCCACGUGUUUGGAUCUGACAAUGUUAGGAAAGAUUGGUCUAUUUCAGGAAAGCAAACAUUAACAUUAAUUAGACACGCUGAGAUAAUUUAUAAUGUUUCUUUAUUUUUACUUAAGUUCGCCUUACUAAGAACUGAACUUUAUUGCAGGACUUUUGAAUCGAGACUGUCUGCCCCUGUGGGUCCGCAUUCUUGCUUCAGUACAAAUUGCUGAUGGAAUGAAAAUCAGCAUAUGAUAUAAAUUAUAUACAUUCAAAGAUAGCUAGUAGAAGAUGAGAGGGGGAAAGGAAAGGAGCAGGAAAAGAGACCAGAAAUCAGAGAAGAAAUGCCUUAAAAAUAUUGCAAAGCUACCUCAAUCCAGAACUCUCUAAACUGUUGGAAAAGUUGCUAGCAGAACACAAAGAUCAAGUUAGGAAUGACUAAAUUGGGUAAGAAAAUGUGUUAAAUUGCAGUUGGCCAUAAUGGACUUACUAAGGAGAGAAGCGUCGAAGACUUAAAACUGUCACAGCCGUGAAAUAUCUUAGAGAAUGAAUCUUGCUGAAAAAUACCUCUCCAAAGAUUUUGCACAGUUGUUUGCCUGAAGGAAGCGAUGAAACUUAAUGGUUGAGUGAAAACUAAUUUAACAUCUACAUUUGAAAAAAGAGCGGCAACUCUUCUGCUCAGUGACUCCCGAGAAGCCUAGAAACCAGCUUUCAAUCAGUGGGAGAUGUUACUGUUCACAAUCAGUUUAUCUAUAUGUUAAAGUUACCUUGUUUCCCCUUAGAUGUUGGGCAUCAUGCAAGAAUUCAUUACUAGGUCAUUUACAAUGAACCCACUGCAAGAUGCCAUAUGUCCAUUAAUACGGGAAAUCAGCUCAAUCACAAUGAUGCUCUCAAACACUAAUUUUAGCAGUUUUAAAGAAAAUAAAUGUUUUUAUUAUUGUUCUCUUUCAGUUGAUUUUCCUAAAAUAUUUUUCCCGAGUAAUUCCUUUUUAGCCUCCCUGUGGCAAUGCAGCACACUCAUGUUUUGAGGGAUCAUGCUCUGGAAAGCUGACGCUGCGCUGCUGGUGGUGACGUACUACUACCUGAGGUUCGACUAGAAAACCAUUUAAUCCCGUUUCUUCUUAAAUUAUCAAAAUAAUGCUAAUAAUUGCCCUCAUGUUAUCGAAAACCAGGCAGCACAGCAGCUUUUCCCUGGGGGAAACACAGAGUCAGUCACCUAGCGGGAACUUCUACGCAAACAUUUGCGCGGAUCAAAUAAACCCUCAGAGUCGACUUGAGGAAAAGCAAGUGGAGGCAUGCAGCGAUGUCUGAUCGCUCCGUGAUGCGGCUCUGCAUCCCCAGCUUUAGAGGCGGCUUGUUGCUUCCAGUUUCCUCGACGCUGGCUUGAGCUUUUUAACCCGACCGUGACGUUUCUCCUCCUGGUCCGCGCUCACGGCUCACGCUCUCGCCGCGGAGGCAGCC